rnacentral:rRNA from 1 species
UACGUAGGGGGCUAGCGUUGUCCGGAAUCAUUGGGCGUAAAGCGCGUGUAGGCGGCUUUGCAAGUCGGGUGUGAAAGCCCUCGGCUCAACCGAGGAAGUGCGCCCGAAACUGCAGAGCUUGAGUACCGGAGAGGAUGGCGGAAUUCCCCAAGUAGAGGUGAAAUUCGUAGAUAUGGGGAGGAACACCGGUGGCGAAGGCGGCCAUCUGGACGGAUACUGACGCUGAGACGCGAAAGCGUGGGGAGCAAACAGG